rnacentral:rRNA from 1 species
UACGGAGGGGGCUAGCGUUGUUCGGAAUUACUGGGCGUAAAGCGCGCGUAGGCGGCUUUGUAAGUUAGAGGUGAAAGCCCGGAGCUCAACUCCGGAACUGCCUUUAAGACUGCAUAGCUAGAACGAUGGAGAGGUGAGUGGAAUUCCGAGUGUAGAGGUGAAAUUCGUAGAUAUUCGGAAGAACACCAGUGGCGAAGGCGACUCACUGGACAUCUGUUGACGCUGAGGUGCGAAAGCGUGGGGAGCAAACAGG